rnacentral:lncRNA from 1 species
UGGUGAAACUAUAUGUGAUAGUUGAUGUUGAAUAGUUAUAUGUUGAAUAUGAUAUUUAUCAUGAGAUGUUGUUUUCCCUAUUACUUGGAAUAUGAGAAUGCUUGAAAUGGUGAAACUAUAUGUGAUAGUUGAUGUUGAAUGACAUUGUUGAUUAUUGAUGAUCAUGUUGAUGUGGUGAUGAUGAAUGCUAUGAUUUAAUUGUGUA